AUUGAACGCUGGCGGCAGGCCUAACACAUGCAAGUCGAGCGGAUGAAGGGAGCUUGCUCCUGGAUUCAGCGGCGGACGGGUGAGUAAUGCCUAGGAAUCUGCCUGGUAGUGGGGGAUAACGUCCGGAAACGGGCGCUAAUACCGCAUACGUCCUGAGGGAGAAAGUGGGGGAUCUUCGGACCUCACGUUAUCAGAUGAGCCUAGGUCGGAUUAGCUAGUUGGUGGGGUAAAGGCCUACCAAGGCGACGAUCCGUAACUGGUCUGAGAGGAUGAUCAGUCACACUGGAACUGAGACACGGCCCAGACUCCUACGGGAGGCAGCAGUGGGGAAUAUUGGACAAUGGGCGAAAGCCUGAUCCAGCCAUGCCGCGUGUGUGAAGAAGGUCUUCGGAUUGUAAAGCACUUUAAGUUGGGAGGAAGGGCAGUAAGUUAAUACCUUGCUGUUUUGACGUUACCAACAGAAUAAGCACCGGCUAACUUCGUG
rnacentral:rRNA from 1 species